UGGAAUUUUCAAGCACUGCAUUGUAUUUUUGAACAUCAUGCAUUUUUUGGUCAAAAUUCUCUACCGUCAUCAAACUUCCGUCAAAUGUGAUGUUCACAAAGAUCAUAUUGUACUCACAGUGUAUUUGCAUGCAACUAGGGACCCCCUAUUGUUCUCUUUUGUUUUUAACUUUUUUAGAAGACCAACCAUAUGUUUAUACACAGUUGUCAAUCGGGAACCCUAUGUGAAUCAGGGACCUUACUGUCCCCAAUUGAAUGCAAGUCCCCAAUUGAAUGCAAAAACAAGCUCACACACGCACACCCAGACUUUGAACUGGUCUGUGGAGGUUAAGUAUGUGUGGAGGAGCCCUCAAGCAUUUGUGUGCUGCAUCCAGGUGCAACAGCAAAUGUCACUGUACUGUGUUAUCUCAGAGUGCAAAAAGAGCAAUGAUCAAUGAUUGUUGUAUUUCUUAUGCUGACAUGUUAGGACACGGACUGUCCUGGUUUUAUCACAUACAUGUAGUCAUAUGGCUUAUACAUGUAGUUCAGAUUCAGCAAUGGGAACAUGUCACAUGUAAUUUUUGUGAGAGGUCAACGAAAGGUUGCAAGACUUCACUUUGCCCGGCCUACAUGCAUUUCUCACUGUUGUGCCCAAAACUGCCCUGAAAUCGGUCCCCUUUUAGUUGCGCGGUAUUAUAUUAACGCUUGCGAAUAGUGACCUCAAUAAUUAUAUCGGAAUGAAGCUUUGGACUUCCCCUUUCAGAUACAUUAAAGAAAGAGGACUGUUGCUGUAGAAAAAAAUGAUGUCAUGACCUUUCAAAGGUCAGACACCGACUAGCUUCUUCAAAAGUUCAUGCAUGCACAUGUAUAGUUGUAUACAUGUGUGAAAGAGUGUGUACAGUACAUGUCGCUGUCUGCAUCAUGGCGACUUUGCAGCUGUCAUCGGAGCCCAUGGGAAGACUAACUUUGCAAGAAGUUCUGCAGGAAAAUGAUGCCAGUGGUUCUGAAAUGGAAGCUUGAGAUGAUCUUCGAAGUGACAUUGACGUUUUACAGAUACUUCAAGAGCUUGAAGAGGAGUAUGGUGCUAAGGAUGCUGCUGAAUCUCUCUAAAGUGCUCCACAUCCUGCGGUUGAUGAUGUAUUCAAGCAGUCUAGAGACGGCGUCCCUUGAAGAUUCAAUGUGAAAUCAUAAAACACCUAAAAAAAAUGGGUGUUGCCCACAAGCGACACAAAUGAUGAUCCACCUGUGGCAGAGGAACAUCCGCCUUGUGAUAACGAGGACCAGUAUUGUAGCAGUGACAGCUACCAGGUGUCCAGUGCUCCAUUCUCGGGUUCAGACAACUCUCUGAUGAAGAGCCAAAAGAGGAUGUGGGAGUUCUGGAUGAGAAGAAGUACCUCAUUUUUCACUCUUGCCUUCUGCAGCUCUUCAAAACAUGCCCCUGAUGUUCAGGCCCCUCAAAGAAGAAAGUAACCCGUCCACUCGGAGGGAUGGCGAUCCAAGUUGUUCAGACGUGUACAGACAAGGCAUGCAGUCAUGUCCACUGUUGCAGAAGCCAGCCAGUGGUGGGCAGUGUGGCCGCUGGGAGCAUUCUGAUUUCAGCCGCCAUUCUGAUGUCUGGUGUCAACAUCAGGAAAUUCAUCAAUGCUCUUGCUUUCAUCAAUGUGGCGAUGAUACCCUACAGCACAUUUUUUAUUCAUCAGCAAAGAUAUCUCCAGCCUGCCAUCAUAGAUGUAUGGUAUGAGCAGCAAGCCUUGAUAUUGUCUGAUUUUGAAAACAGUGGUGUUGGUGCAGAUAUGCGUGCGGACUCCAUGGGUCAUUCAGCUAAAUUUGGCUUCUACAUUAUUUUGGAGUUGAGCCAGGGUAAAGUUCUCCACUUUGAGCACAUGCAGAUCUAUAGAAGAAGUUAAAUAAUAGGCCUACUGGAAAUGCAUCUGGAUGUGGAGAAAUCAGGACUGGAUCCAGGGGAUUACCAACAAUGUCUACUGGUUCACGGCUUCCACCCCUGAUGGAGGUGGUGAUUUGAUGCUGGCCAAAUUCUCCAGUGCAGUCAAUCCUGUGAUGAAUGCCCAUCAUCAUGACAGCCAGCUCUUCCCACAGUGUGCGCACGGAGAACUUCCAGAAUGAAAGUGGAUAAAGCCAGGAUCUACCUAGCUGCCUUGCAUUUAAUGAGAACACUAAGAAAGCAAGCAGUGGACAAGCUAGGCAAUCCAGCCUGUAGCAUCUACUACCCAAGGGCAAAGCAGCCUACUGUAAGGUACAGCAUGAGACAGGUGGUGAUGUGGAGCUCCUAGAAUUUCACCAAGUUCAUAAUUGGCAAGGUUUUGGAUCUUUGUAAACAUGGCCAGGAUAUGAGGAACAACUACCCUGAGCUCAAGGCAAACCCUGUUCCCCUAACAGUGAGAGUAAAAUGCCCAAACAAAGAGGAAGCAGUGACUUCUUUCAUUUCUCACUUUGGUAAGCGUGGAGCUGGUAGGGCGAUGCGAAGGCUGCGAGGAUGUUGUAGUGUCGGCAAAACUUCCAAAGAAAGCCAAGGAAUCCAAGAAGGACAAAGGACAAAAGAAAGGCGAGGACGAAGCCCAUAAGGACAAAAUGCACAAGAAGAAAUCAAAGAAGAAAACAAGGGUUUCUGAAGAGGGAGAAUGCUUGUCUGCUUCAAAAUACAGCCAGACAUAAGACAUGGAAAUGUGGAAACAAACUUCAGUCUCUUAUGCAAUCAAGUGUAUUUUCCAGUUUACUUGAAACAAAUCUUGCAAGAGAAACUUCACCAAACGUACAUGUCAAUUUUUAAAGGAAAGCAUGCUCCGUAUCAAGCUUUAUCAUUACGCUGAUCACUCUUGGCAAUUUUGCACAUGUACAUGUGUGUACAUGUAUUUUUCAACAUUCACAUGAUCUGAAGAUGGAGUUAAUGGGGCCUUGCUUAGAGCUUAUGCAGAACUAAUUUUUGCAAAAUGGGCAAAAAUAUGGUGUACCCUUUAUGAACCUGAAUACAGUAAACAGUUGCUGUACACGCAUGUUUUUCAUUCAAUCUUUCCCAAAAUUAACCCUGCAAGUCCGAAGGAAUUUUAGUGGAAAAUGGCACCCUCAAAAAACUGACCAGCAAAUAAUCAAGAAAAAUUAAUCAUAAAGUUAAACAUAUGUAUUUAAAAGAUGACAUCCAUAUCUGGAUAUUUGAAUCCCUCGUAAUUAUCCUCUGGGUCUGGAAAAGUCGUUCUUGUCAUAAGCAUGAUGCAUAAUGGCAGGGGAACUCAGUUGUACCAUCCAAGAAAUCCCCAGCACCACCAGAUGACUUGUCUGUAAGAUGUGUGUUGGUACUUCCUA
rnacentral:lncRNA from 1 species